rnacentral:rRNA from 1 species
GACGAACGCUGGCGGCGUGCUUAACACAUGCAAGUCGAACGGUAAGGCCCUUCGGGGUACACGAGUGGCGAACGGGUGAGUAACACGUGGGUGAUCUGCCCUGCACUUCGGGAUAAGCCUGGGAAACUGGGUCUAAUACCGGAUGGGACCACUGCCUGCAUGGGUGGUGGUGGAAAGCUUUUGCGGUGUGGGCAUGGGCCCGCGGCCUAUCAGCUUGUUGGUGGGGUGAUGGCCUACCAAGGCGACGACGGGUAGCCGGCCUGAGAGGGUGACCGGCCACACUGGGACUGAGAUACGGCCCAGACUCCUACGGGAGGCAGCAGUGGGGAAUAUUGCACAAUGGGCGCAAGCCUGAUGCAGCGACGCUGCGUGAGGGAUGACGGCCUUCGGGUUGUAAACCUCUUUCAGCACCGACGAAGCGCAAGUGACGGUAGGUGCAGAAGAAGGACCGGCCAACUACGUGCCAGCCGCCGCAGUAA